CUCCAUCCAUGGAAUUCUCCAAGCAAAAGUACUGGAGUGGAUUGCCAUUUUCUUCUCCAAGGGAUCGAACCCACGUCUCCUACACUGCAGUCAGAUUGCUUACUGUCUGAGCCACCAGGGAAGAUGAAACCAUUAUUAUGUCACUAAAAAUCUGCAGAAUGUGUGGAAAUGUCAUCUCUCAUUCUGAUGAGUAUGCUUCCAUGCUUCAACAUUACAAUCCCCAUUUAUUAGAAGCACUACUCCUGGUUUUCAGAAGAAAACGGUCCAAAGCCACCAGGCGCUCCUAAAUCCUAAAAUAAGGGAGCAUUACAGAACUCAACACUUCUCAGUUUGUCAUGGAUAUUCAUCUAAGUAUCUGCUAGGAACUCCUCUAGAAAAUGAUGACCAAAAAAAAAAAAGAAAAUGAUGAGCAAAACCUCAUAUUGCGAAUAAUCUUAAACUAGCACCAAAGACUCCUGCAAGAAUCUUUCAGCCUUCCUCUCCCUUUCAUUAGCAAUUAAUGAGUGGGGGAGGGAGUCGGGGCCAAGGGGCGCAAGGCGGGCAGCCCUUCAGAGCCCAGCGAA